rnacentral:rRNA from 1 species
AACGCGAAGAACCUUACCCAGACUUGACAUGCAGAGGACAGGCCUAGAGAUAGGCCCUCCCUUCGGGGCUUCUGCACAGGUGCUGCAUGGCUGUCGUCAGCUCGUGCCGUGAGGUGUUGGGUUAAGUCCCGCAACGAGCGCAACCCUUAUCAUUAGUUGCCAACAUGUUAUGGUGGGAACUCUAGUGAGACUGCCUGGGUUAACCAGGAGGAAGGUGAGGAUGACGUCAAGUCCGCAUGGCCCUUAUGUCUGGGGCUACACACGUGCUACAAUGGGCGGUACAAAAGGUAGCGAAGCCGUGAGGUGGAGCAAAUCCCUAAAACCGUUCUCAGUUCAGAUUGUAGUCUGCAACUCGACUACAUGAAGUUGGAAUUGCUAGUAAUGGCGGGUCAGCAACACCGCCGUGAAUACGUUCCCGGGCCUUGUACACACCGGUAUCUC